rnacentral:SRP_RNA from 1 species
GUCUCGGGGUAAGAUCGGGGAGUGACAAUUAGUGUGGUGGAAUGUUGGGUUGUUCUAGAUGAUUGGGCUUGGUGGGCUAAUUUCUGGCUUGCCCUGUCCAAGAACAGAUUUGGGUGUUGUUGUCCAAUCGAAAGAAUGGGCUGCUGGGUUCCUAAAGCCGGAGGGAUUUGCGUGAGGCUUGUUUCAUAGAGCAACGAAUAGUAUCCACUCUAUGCAGUGGAAGGAUAACUAAUCAGUGCCCUCCUAAGUCCAAUAACACCUGAUGGGCUGCUCCAAUUAAACCAUCACUUUU